GCCCCAGGAAGAGCGCGGAGGAGGCGCACGUUCCUCGCUGCCCGUGAAGGUUUGCCUUUUUCAGGUGGAUAAAAAUUGCAGUGGGAUGUUCCCACGCACCCUAAAAGCAGGAGCCUAAAGGAUAUAAAGAGUAACUCCUCUCCAGCUUAGGUCGCUCGCGCAGAGCUCUAGAAUUGUCACGGUUCUGCCCCCUCGCGCUCGCACCCCAGGUUUGCUAGAAAGCGCCCCGCCUUCUCUUGACAUCUGUUCGGCCGCUCACUGCCUCUUUCCAAACUAAUCCAUAACAGCUUUUCCUUGAGGUGGAGGCUGCGGUAGCCUGAGGUGAAAAUGCCGGAAAACGGAAGCCGCCCUCGGCCAAAGACCCGCGCAGCCUUGGCCGCCAACCUGGGGGAGGGUCCUCCACUGUAAGCCGGGGCCGCUUCACAUGGUUUCUAGAGCCGCGCGGCUCUGGGGUGAGGGUGGCCCGCGGGGGUGUCACCCUCAGCGCGUCCGGCUGCGUAGCUACGCCGCCCCCUGCCGGUGCCCCACGGAACUGUGUUCUAAACCCGGAAACCAGACUGGACCCUAGAACCUAAGACCCUGUCCCCUAGCACAAAGCCUAAAGUGAGGGGGUACACAUGUGACGCAUGUCUACACGGAUCUUGUAAACCCACCACCUCCUUCCGAGCACAUCCAUGUAUUCCUCUGUCCAGCCAUCCACACAGGAAGACUUUCUACUCGAGUGUAUUGUGUGUAUGUGGGGGGGUAUGUGCCAGGAACCAAGGUCUGGAUGUUCAGAAUUGGAUGUAACUAUGGGGACCAAUGUGUUUCAUCCUGAAGCAACUGCUUAGGGCUAAAAUGCAGAAUGACCUGAUUAGGCUGAUGGGAGAGUUCUCCAGCCAGGAAUGUCCUCUGCAGCAUUGGAGAGGUAGCAAGCUAACAGCUUCAUGGAGGUUUCUCAUUUAUAAGAAACUUACUCACAGGGAAACAGUGGAGGAUUUGAAGACUAGCCCAAUUACACUAGUAGUGGUGCCAUUUCCCCUUCUUUCCUCUGUUUCCUGUCUUCUCAAAAGUGGUCUAACAGAGUAGAUAGGAAAUAAACAAAUAUGAAAUUAUUUUCCAAAGCUCAUACCACAUGGAGAGAGAGGAGUUCAUAGAACUGCUGUUCAAACUUAUUACUUCCUUCUCUCAUAGCUCUCUGCCAGUAUCUCUCAUAAUCAUGUCCUGGCUUGGUCUUUUUCGACACCAGCUUAUACACUCUCCAUUGAUUUUCCACCUUCCACUGCUUCUACCCUUUGAUCCUAUUCACAAAAGCAAAAUGAUCCUGUAGAAGCACCAUGGUGUGCAGGCAGACCAGUGGCACUAUAAGAAAUGAGCCCUAUCCCACCCCCCUCCCCCUUGUUAGCUUCCUUUGUAGGGCAACUCCCAGUUAUCUCUGAAACCACUGUGGGACAGCAUCCUUUUCCAUGCAUGCACACAGAAUAGAAUUCAUUUCACAGUCAGUUGAAGGUCUCCCUGCUGUCCAGUUAGUGUUAGUUGAGUAGCACCUGAUCAGAGUGUUUCAUGUAAAAAGUCAAAAUUCAUUUGGGAGACUAAGUUUUUGAGGGAAAUGGUGCUUUUCAAAUGAUUCUUCACAUGUUUCUUCAGGGAAAUAAAUGCUUCUUUACCGCCUAUAAAAGACCAACAGUAUACUAGGUCAUACAACUUAUAGGUUAGUCCGAAAAUAAUAUAAUAACAAUGUUACUAGUAAUCAAAAAAUUAAAUUUUCUAAUCUUAAAUUUUAUAA